UGGGGAAUUUUGGACAAUGGGGGAAACCCUGAUCCAGCCAUCCCGCGUGUGCGAUGAAGGCCCUCGGGUUGUAAAGCACUUUUGGCAGGAAAGAAACGUCGCGGGUUAAUACCCCGCGAAACUGACGGUACCUGCAGAAUAAGCACCGGCUAACUACGUGCCAGCAGCCGCGGUAAUACGUAGGGUGCAAGCGUUAAUCGGAAUUACUGGGCGUAAAGCGUGCGCAGGCGGUUCGGAAAGAAAGAUGUGAAAUCCCAGAGCUUAACUUUGGAACUGCAUUUUUAACUACCGGGCUAGAGUGUGUCAGAGGGAGGUGGAAUUCCGCGUGUAGCAGUGAAAUGCGUAGAUAUGCGGAGGAACACCGAUGGCGAAGGCAGCCUCCUGGGAUAACACUGACGCUCAUGCACGAAAGCGUGGGGAGCAAACAGGAUUAGAUACCCUGGUAGUCCACGCCCUAAACGAUGUCAACUAGCUGUUGGGGCCUUCGGGCCUUGGUAGCGCAGCUAACGCGUGAAGUUGACCGCCUGGGGAGUACGGUCGCAAGAUUAAAACUUAAAGGAAUUGACGGGGGUGCAUAGCU
rnacentral:rRNA from 1 species